UUUGCUUUCAGCAAAGGGGGACAAAGUCAUGGGGUGAAAGGGAAGGAAGGCCCAGUACAGCUUCCAAGACCCUCACCGGCCUCCUCACCAGCUCCAGCUCCCCCUCCCCCCAGCUCCUGUAAGAAGUUGGGCCCAGCUGGAAGGGAUUGAAGGGGUUCUCUGUCUGGAGAUGGAGCCACUAUGGGCAGGGCCCCCGGGCGCCUGGAGUCGGGCAUGAAAGGAAAUAGCGCCUCAUCGCUCUUAUCUAAGCCCAGAGCCGCCUCCUCGCCCUGGCUGGCCUCUGCGGAGAUUCCAGGCCCUACCGAGACCCUCAGCGCCCCUCGUGCCAACGCUGCCGCCGCCGGGAAAUCGCCGAUACCCACACACACAGGGCAAGAGAACCGCGUGG